rnacentral:rRNA from 1 species
UGGGGAAUAUUGCACAAUGGGCGCAAGCCUGAUGCAGCAACGCCGCGUGAGGGAUGACGGCCUUCGGGUUGUAAACCUCUUUUAGCAGGGAAGAAGCGAAAGUGACGGUACCUGCAGAAAAAGCACCGGCUAACUACGUGCCAGCAGCCGCGGUAAUACGUAGGGUGCAAGCGUUGUCCGGAAUUAUUGGGCGUAAAGAGCUCGUAGGCGGUCUGUCGCGUCUGCUGUGAAAUCCCGAGGCUCAACCUCGGGCCUGCAGUGGGUACGGGCAGACUAGAGUGCGGUAGGGGAGAAUGGAACUCCUGGUGUAGCGGUGGAAUGCGUAGAUAUCAGGAAGAACACCGAUGGCGAAGGCAGUUCUCUGGGCCGUAACUGACGCUGAGGAGCGAAAGCGUGGGGAGCGAACAGGAUUAGAUACCCUGGUAGUCCACGCCGUAAACGUUGGGCGCUAGAUGUGGGGACCAUUCCACGGUUUCCGUGUCGCAGCUAACGCAUUAAGCGCCCGCCUGGGGAGUACGGCCGCAAGGC